rnacentral:rRNA from 1 species
UACAGAGGGUGCGAGCGUUAAUCGGAAUUACUGGGCGUAAAGGGUGCGUAGGUGGUUUUAUAAGUCAGAUGUGAAAACCCUGGGCUUAACCUAGGAAUGGCAUUUGAAACUGUGAGACUAGAGUUUGGAAGAGGAAAGUGGAAUUUCAGGUGUAGCGGUGAAAUGCGUAGAUAUCUGAAGGAACAUCAGUGGCGAAGGCGACUUUCUGGUCCGACACUGACACUGAGGCACGAAAGCGUGGGGAGCAAACAGG